UACGAAGGGGGCUAGCGUUGCUCGGAAUCACUGGGCGUAAAGGGCACGUAGGCGGCUUCUUAAGUCAGGGGUGAAAUCCUGGAGCUCAACUCCAGAACUGCCUUUGAUACUGAGGAGCUUGAGUCCGGGAGAGGUGAGUGGAACUGCGAGUGUAGAGGUGAAAUUCGUAGAUAUUCGCAAGAACACCAGUGGCGAAGGCGGCUCACUGGCCCGGUACUGACGCUGAGGUGCGAAAGCGUGGGGAGCAAACAGG
rnacentral:rRNA from 1 species